GUCAGAGACAUCCACAUAAGCAUUAACUUAAAUAGUAAUCGAAAUGCUAAAGCGAAACACAGCAAUGACGAGGCCUUCACAGGCAGCUGACUGGGGGGUUUGCCACUAAUCUAGUCUAGAACUCCUUGGAGUCCUGAAACUCCUGAAAGUCCUCCGCAUGGCCUCCAUCUUCUCCUGAGUAGGGGUUGCAAUGUGGACAACCUAGUGCUUUGUGUUUAAGCAAUGAUGAGUACACAUCAACGUACUCAACAAAUGUCCCGUUUGGCUAAGGUGGACUAGCUUUAUGUGGGGUGAAGCUCAGAGCAGUUGCUUUUAGUCCGUCACAUAUUUAUUAUUAGUAGAAGCCAAGUUUUAGCAAUAAUCCCAAGUUAUUAUCCCAAAAGGUACUCCCUCAGAGAGGAAAUACAAGCAGAUCUAUAAUUAUAACCAUAAUCAUUAAAUCAUCGUCAUAAAUGUAUCCAGAAUAUCUCUAAUCAAAGGAGCUCCUAAGGCUGUUCAUAAUCGUGAGCACAGCGGAUAUACCAGUUUCUAACCCUCUGCAGAGGUCGUACACUUUACCCACGAGCCGUGAUCCCUUUUUGCCUCGAGUUGUACAGACUCUCAAACACUCCCACGGUGAGUCGACAAGGUUUCACUACAUAGCUUUUACAAAGAUUCCCUAGAGGUCAUAGUCGCCCAUUAGGUUUCUCUAGUUUGAUAAACACAGUAUCUCUCCCUGCAGGAGGGGUGACUAACAAAAGCAAAACGAAAGAACCUCGGCACCCAGCCUCAGACGAGCAAGUACUGUGCCCAUACCCCAUUGACGGCACAACGGCGAAGCAGACUACACCUCAAGUUCCUCGAAUUAAUCAACUAAUGGCGUCCCAUACCACCCUUAUGGUUGUACUGUUUUCUCGGAUGGUCAUCCAAUGAACAGAUCCUUACGAGGAGGUACUCGAGAAAUAGCUCGAGUCCCCUUUAGUGCCACAAGUUCAUUGUCACAUCUAGAAUAACAUCGUCGUAUCAUAAAGUAUUCUCAUCAUGUUCAUUGAUUAAAGUAAAGCACUAGUGUGAUAUUGAUCAUAAUAGCUCAACCCAAAAGGUAAUUCGAGGACAUGAUAAACAGAAAACUAGUCAAUCUUUAAGUUGAUCAUGGUAUGUGGGAUAAUGAAUUAUAAAGUGAAUAUGUCAUAAUAGGUUAGAGGACACUUGCCUUCACCAAGGUGCUCCUUAGGGACUUCUCCUGCAACUCCCUCGAAAAACACGAGCUGCUCGUUGUCUACGCAAAGCAAUCAUUCAGUCAACGCACUUGGGGAAAUAACAAAAGAACAAUACACCAAACAUAUGCAACAUAAUAAUCACAGGUUCAACAGAAAGGUGUAGACAAUGUGGUGUUUUCUGAGUCUAGGGUAGAUCACUACACUGGGUGGUUUGUUGUUCACCAACCAGGUCUAUGUGAUUAUAAUAUUUGUUCAAAUAAGGUUAGUGUAGUGAUGGGGCUAAUCAUUAGAUGAUGCUAAGUUUUAAAAUUAGAACAUUUGUGAAAGUCGCCUAGAGGGGGGGUGAAUAGGGCGAAACUGAAAUUUACAAAGUUAAUCACAACUACAAGCCGGGUUAGCGUUAGAAAUAUAAUCGAGUCCGCGAGAGAGGGUGCAAAACAAAUCGCAAGUGAAUAAAGAGUGUGGCACGCGGAUUUGUUUUACCGAGGUUCGGUUCUCGCAAACCUACUCCCCGUUGAGGUGGUCACAAAGACCGGGUCUCUUUCAACCCUUUCCCUCUCUCAAACAGUCCCUCGGACCGAGUGAGCUUCUUCUUCUCAAUCAAACGGGAACAAACUUCCCCGCAAGGGCCACCACACAAUUGGUGCCUCUUGUCGUGGUUACAAUUGAGUUGUUCGCAACAAAGAAUCAAAGAAGAAAGCAAUCCAAGCGCAAGAGCUCGAAAGAACACAAGCAAAUCUCUCUCACUAAUCACUAAGGCGUUGUGUGGAAUUGGGAGAGGAUUUGAUCACUUGGGUGUGUCUAGAAUUGAAUGCUAGAGCUCUUGUAAGUAGUUGAAGUGGGAAAACUUGGAUGACUUGAAUGUGGGGUGGUUGGGGGUAUUUAUAACCCCAACCACCAAACUAGCCGUUUGGUGGAGACUGCUGUCGCAUGGCGCACCGGACAGUCCGGUGCGCCAGCCACGUCACCAGGCCGUUGGGUUCCGACCGUUGGAGCUCUGACGUGUGGGCUCGCCUGGCUGCCGGUGGCGCACUGGACAAGUCCUGUAGACUGUCCGGUGUGCCACCCGCGCGUGCUCUGACUUCUGCGCGCGCUGGCGCGCAUUUAAUGCGCCUGCAGUCGACCGUUGGCGCGAAGUAGUCGUUGCUCCGCUGGCUCACCGGACAGUCCGGUGUGCACCAGACAUGUCCGGUGAAUUAUAGCGGAGCGGAUUCCCGAAGCUUGCGAGUUCAGAGUCGCUCUCCUCUGGAGCACCGGACACUGUCCGGUGGUGCACCGGACAGUCCGGUGAAUUAUAGCGAAGCGCCUCUGAAAAUUCCCGAAGGUGAAGAGUUUGGCUUGGACAGUCCGGUGCGCCAGACCAGGGCAGCCUUCGGUUAUCCCUUGCUCUCUUUGUUGAACCCAUUUCUUGGUCUUUUUAUUGGCUAAGUGUGAACCUUUGGUACCUGUAUAACUUAUACACUAGAGCAAACUAGUUAGUCCAGUUAUUUGUGUUGGGUAAUUCAACCACCAAAAUCAAUUAGGAAAUAGGUGUAAGCCUAAUUCCCUUUCAAUUUGUAUGAGUUGUCUACUCUUAUUUUAUUAAGGCUCUAAUUAUUCAUUUUCAAACCAAGGGUUGUCUAUUUAUUGAGACAAUUAAACUGUGUAAGAAUAUAAUUCCAGCAGAUAGGCAAAAUCAUAAAGAACAAUUUGCAAUUUGAAACACUUAAUUUGGAGUUCAUAUGACAAAGUUAUGAUUUUUGGAAGUUUUGGGAUUUAAAACUCUAUUUAAACACAUUUCUACGAUUAACUAAAAGCCCGAUGGCCUAACAGCAAGACCACAGGGGCUCUCGUGAAAGAAACGGGGACGACAGCUUCAUUCUCGGGAAACCCAGGGUUUCUUUAACAAAAGUGCCAUGCGAAGGGGUAUCGGGCCAUGCGGGCCAUCAGAUCUUUGAUCCACGGUCGCGAUUAGAACCGACAUGGGGCAGACGCGCAGGUGCGCGCGAGGCGCUUGCGGUCGACAGGUGGGGCCCGGGGGUCAGCGGCUCAGGCGCGGGCGCGGGAAUUGGCCGGCCAGGCCCAGUGGCCAGCGGCUCAGGCGGGCAGCGAGGUGCGUGGCGGACGUGUGGCGGUCUGACGGGCGGGACCCGCCUCUCAGUGACACGAGAGAGGGAAAAUGGAUAUGGUGCCGGGAGGCUGAUAGUGGGCCCUGGAUGUUAGGGUCGCCGUCUACCUCCCGCCCGUGCAUGGCACAUGCACCAUGGCCGGGGCAGGCGGCGCUCAAGGGGAAAAGGGGGAAUGUGGGGGCGGCGGUGACCGACCGAAGGACCAUGGCACGAUGGCGCAACGCCGUCAUCGACCCUCACCGGUGACUGCACAACAGACAAUAUUGAACGAGGGAGAGAGAAAAGGAGAAUCAACAAGUGGGCUUACCUUGGGUGGAGCUCGAUUGG
rnacentral:lncRNA from 1 species